CAGUAGCCGCGGUAAUACGUAGGGGGCGAGCAUUGUCCGAAGUUACUGGGCGUAAAGAGCGCGUAGGCUGGUCUUUAAGUGAGUGGUGAAAGGUUCGGGCUCAACCCGGACACUGCCUUUCAUACUGGGGACCUUGAGUGUGGGAGAGGCGAGUGGAAUGGUCGGUGUAGCGGUGAAAUGCGUAGAUAUCGAUCGGAACACCCAUGGCGAAGGCAGCUCGCUGGCCUAACACUGACGCUGAGGCGCGAAAGCGUGGGGAGCAAACAGGAUUAGAUACCCCGGUAGUCCCUGUCUCUUAUAC
rnacentral:rRNA from 1 species